rnacentral:lncRNA from 1 species
CUUUUUUGAGCUGAAAUACCAAAAGAGGCCCCGAUGACUCUCGAAGCUUUUGGACAGAAGCUCCAAGUCCUAUUCCUCGAUGGCGUGGGAGGGAGCUGCAUCGAAUCGUAUUGAGGAGUUCAGUAGAAAGGAGCACCGUGGGCUCUGCUCCCAAGCGGCUUCUUUCCAGGUAAACUAAGAUGGAAGGAGAACCCUUAGGCAGAUGGUAACAUUGGUCCAUCCCCUGGCACACCAUAAUCCACGGAAGAGUUCAUAAAUCUGCCACAUGCCAAAAUCAGGCUCAUCCAGGAAAGGAGCAGGAAGAACUUGCUUCCUCCCGUUCUGUAUCUACUGGACCUUGGAGGUGAUCCUGCAGCUGCACCUGCCCAGGCACCUGUGACUCAUGCUGCCUUGAGGUCCUCAUUCAGAGGGCCUCUACCUAGAGGGCAUUGCUGUGCCCGGCCCCUUGUCCCUCCUCACACCAGGUCUGUGCAGGGGCAUGAACACACCCAGCCCUGGGAGCCAUGACUUGGUCAUCGCGGCUUUCUGUGACUCCAGGAAUCACCCGGAAUUCACUCUAUACUUUAUGAAAACAGUGGUCCCCAGGAGGCACGCCCACAGUGGUGGAGUGGUACAACCUGUGAGCCAGAGUCAGAAUUCCUCUGCAGACUGGACCCACGUUGAGGCGCCUCAUAGAAGCACACACACAGGUGGAAGAGGUGAGUAGAACGCCCUUGGUCCAGGCUUCCCUUCUUCUAAUUAUCUGCUUAAUGGCAGGUGUGGAAGAUCAGCUGCAAAUGACUUUGAGUGGCCUCUCAAUAAACCAGAGGUCCGUAAGAAGAUGCAGUGCCAGGCUGUGCUUGAGUGAAGCAGGCGGGUGGCCAGAGAUGUGCAGGUGCUGACAUGAGGCCCUCUCGCCUGGGACAGUUUCCUGUGGUCAAGCCCCCCAGAUGCUGUAGCAGGGAGGCUACUGGACCCCGUGUGAAUUCCUGGGAGUGGGGGCACACCCCCUGUCAUUGCAGAAAUGACACUGGAGCUGUCCUGCCCAGCGCUAGACUGCAGCUCUGGCCUUUUGAAAGGUUCCAGCCUCAAGAUCAUCAUGUAAAUUUCUGGUGGCUUCUCAGUAGCUUUGGAAGAUCUUCAUUUCCUUUUGCUGAGUGUGCCAUUCUUUAGAUGGGGACAUUUCUUAAAGGGGGCAGCCGAAGGCCACCUGGAAGCUCACUCCGUAUUUGAAAUGGUGCUUCUUGAAGUUUCAUUAGGCUGUCCUCCAAUCUCCUUUCCAAAGGGACCUUGUGACCUUCCUCAAAAAACACCACUGGAAGUUUAGGCUUGACACAAUGCUGUACAAAGGAAGCAAGAGAGAUCAAGCAGCAGGGGUGCGGUGAGCGGCCUGGCCACAGCACCCACAGCAGGUGCAGCCCUGCCGACUGAGAUUUCCUGCCAGCAACCACAUGGCUUGUCCUCCCUGAGCCUUGCCAGCCGGUCGGCGUACAGCUGUGAGCCACGGCACACACAAGUGUCCUGAGAGGUUUUUCCUGGAUGAAAUUGGCAUAGAAUAUAUGGGCCUUUCUCUGAAAAUCUGACCUGAGUACUGUCCUCUCCUCUCCUCUCCUGUGCUUGGAGUUAUAGCAAAAUGGACGCUGCAUCCUUCCCAGCUGUUUCACAGGCAGAUGUAACAGUUGAUACAAGAAGAUUAAAAAAAAAUAGUCGGAUGUCUACAUUACAGAGAAGAGGGGGUCGAGUGAGGAGAGGCAGCACCGCAGUGUCUGGGCGAUCGCAUUACUGUGUCGUCAUCAGUUCUGGGUACAGGUCAGUAACUGUCUCUGCUUCCCCUCCUGAGCCUUCAACCACAUCCAAUUAGCACUGCCCUGCCGUGACGCAGCCUGCCUCUCUUAAUGAGAGCCCCGCUCCAGCGGAGCACGUGCAGUGAGAGGCUUCAGAAACAGGUGCCUUCCGCGGAGCUCGCGUGGGGCGGGCAGAGCAGGCCCUUCCGUCCAGCUCCAAACAGGCAGGCUGCAGCCUCUUGGAACCAGGACUUGGCUGGCAGGGGAUCAAUUAGGCCAUUCCGCUGUCCAUGGGCUUCCGCGUGGACAGGAGGGAAAGAGUGAAACCAGGUCUCGCCUCCCAGAGUGAAGCCCCCUCCUGCCGCUGUGUUCACUGCUCGGUGCCAGAGGACUUAUUAGUGGAUUGCCAGUUUGAGACGCUUCCCUGGAUGUUCAGGAAGGCUGAGUGCCCCGUGUUUCUCUUCAUAUAUGCAUACAUAUACAUACACCAAAUAUACUAAAGUAUUCUGCUCAUUUGUCUGUUUUAGGAAAUAAUGUCUCAUUUUUUAUUAAAAUGUGAGUGUCUCAAAGGCAGGUGCUGUCUU